rnacentral:rRNA from 1 species
UACAGAGGGGGCAAGCGUUAUUCGGAAUUAUUGGGCGUAAAGGGCGCGUAGGCGGCCUGGCAAGUGGAAGGUGAAAUCCCUCGGCUUAACCGAGGAACUGCCCUCCAAACUGCUUGGCUUGAGUCCGGGAGAGGUGAGUGGAAUUCCCAGUGUAGCGGUGAAAUGCGUAGAUAUCUGGAGGAACACCGGUGGCGAAGGCGGCAUCCUGGACCGAUACUGACGCUGAGGAGCGAAAGCCAGGGGAGCAAACGGG